rnacentral:sRNA from 1 species
AUCUAGCCCUGAUUGUAACGGCAUCCUUUUGCAAAGCAAAAGAUAUAGUGAAAAGCAGGUUCCCGG